AACGAACGCUGGCGGCAGGCCUAAAACAUGCAAGUCGAACGAACCUUCGGGUUAGUGGCGCACGGGUGCGUAACGCGUGGGAAUAUGCCCUUCACUACGGAACAACGGUCGGGAAACUGACGCUAAUACCGUAUAAUGACUCCGGUCCAAAGAUUUAUCGGUGAAGGAUUAGCCCGCGUCUGAUUAGGUAGUUGAUGAGG
rnacentral:rRNA from 1 species